ensembl:lncRNA
CACAUUUUUCUCAAAGCAGCUGGGGUUGCCAGAUACCCUUUUUAAUAUGGGACUUCCCAUAUUUAAGCCUCAAAUCUCAAAUGCUGUAUUAAAAACACGUGAUGCAUUGCCUGCUCUUGUAUUUCCUCUACAUUUUAAUAGGGGACACACGUUGUGAGGUUGAAACGCAGAAAAUCCUGCAGCUGCUUUCCUGCCCUGUUCUUAGAGCCUCCUCUGGGAGCACAGAGACACGAUCCAGUUGGUGGCUGUGACAGGAGCGAGAACUGGAGCAGCCCUAAGGAGCUGAGGAGGGCUGCAGGGCAAUGAGCACACUGAGGCACCAGAAACACACACCGGUGUAUUAAAGUUCAGAAUGCAGCAACUCCCCUCUGCUGCCCCACGUCAGGUGUGCUUGAUCCUCCUGCCAAGGACUCACUGUGAUAAGAAAAUAAAUAUUUUUGUUUUGUAGGCAAUACGUUUGCUUAUACAGCUCAGGAGAUAGCAAUCCAGGUCACUAACUUUGGCUUGGGAUUCUCUAUGAUCUCUCCUCUACAAAAUACUAGCCAGAUAGUCAUGCUUUGUCCUGCAUUUGGUUACUUGUUCUCUCUAAGUACCUUGUCACCUCGUCUUUACUGAAGUUGACUUCUUUUUCACCAGAACACUUCUCAACUUGUCAGGAUCAUUCUGACUUCAAGUCCUGCCCUCCAUUGCUCUUGCCAUUUCUCCAAGCCUGGUGUUAUCUGUGCAUUUAAUAAGUCUGCUUGCUUAUAAAGCAUACAAAUUGUUAAAGAAAACACUAGAACCAGACCUUGGACAGAUCUUUGAACUAUAUGUGAUGUCUCUUUAAUUUAUUUCCUCAGAGAAGCAUCUACUCUGUUAUUUGGAGCAAUUCAGGAGCGGAACAGAUUCCCACAGACAAUUUCCAUGGAUACUACACAACACGGAGGUCUAAGCUUGCUUCCUCCGCUUCCAGAUGUGUGGAAUUACUGCGUUGCUCACAGCAUCAGCUCUUGUCUCUGGAAGCAAAGUCUGGAAGGCAUCCCGACUGUCCUCAUCCCUCCCCUCCGCGGCAGUAUCACUGUUCUGUGGACACAUGUGCAGAUCUAGCUGGAGCUGAUGAUCAACCCAAAGGAGGAACCGUCUCAGUCCUGAGAAUACAAAAUAGCUACCACAAAAGACAGCAGUGGUUCGUCUGUGGGUUCCCAUGCAACUUGGAAAUACAAGAGAGAAAUCAUCAUUGCCUUUUGCAGCCUGUAAGAUUUGUGACAGCCAAUUGCAGCGAUAUCCAUAACUUCUGAAAAAGAAAACAUCAUUUUUCUCCUACUGGCAUAUCUCAACUGCACGAGAAGCGUUUCUUUCAGCAUCACCGAAGGCCUGGGAUAUCUCACUUCAUGAAUCACAUUAGAUGUCUUCUCCUAAUUUUGUACGACCAUCUGUGAAUCUUUCCAACCCAGGUUCCAUCAGGAGCAGGAUCUGGCAGUUGGAAGAGAUUUGAGACCAACUCACUCGAUCCUUUUCCUGCUGCUCAGGCUGAUGAUAUUUCAGCAUAAAAGGAGGCUUUGAGCUGGUGUUGACUGCUCUUUCUCCUCUUUUCAAGUUGCAGUGCAAAGCUUUGGAUGACUGAAGUGGGAAGGACAGAGGAAAGAAAAGCAACCCAAACCUUCACCAGCACACCUGCUUGAGGGGCCGCAGAACUCCAAAGUUCAUCAAUACUAUGUGAAUCACUGCUGGAGACUGACAUUAGAAAUCCAUCUUCAUGCUGGCCUGGUUCCUCAUCUCCUACAUCACUAAAUUACAACUUAAAUCCAAAUAUCUCCCAAAUGUUUUGAUACAAGACCUAAAAAACCCCCAUUUCUCAGCUCCCUGAAGACUUCAUAGACCAUAUGCUUCUCAAAGGAGAAGUUAUGCUGUUUCACUUCUUUCUAAUGACUGUUGGCCAAUGGGAAAAUGUAUAACUGAACAACUUAGGUUAUGUCCGCUUGGAGAAGUUGAAGAUUUCGUUAGAUGCUGGACAACAAUAUUCACAUCCAAAGCACUCAAUUUCCAUGCUGCAUCAGGCUUAGUCUCAGUCUCCCCAGAACACAGUGAAAAGACGUGACAGUAGCUUUCUGUGUAGAAAUAUAUUUGGCAAAUAUAUAAACCCUGCAGAGCAUCCCUUGAGAGGCUAAAGGAAUUUAAACUUAAGUCCCAUGCAGAUCUCCUCUAAGGUGUUAUUUUCCCCCCUAAAUACCAUGUUGAAAUUCUACUUUUACCAAGUUUAAAACUGGAAGCUACAUUAUGUUUGCAGAACUGGAAAUCUCAGUGAAUAAAUAAAUCUUGAGAAGCACAGCUACAGGGAAACAGGCACAGACCUUGCACCAUUCACAGCUUUAAAAAAAGUGUUGGAGCUUAGUAAAGCCAGCAUCACACACACAGCAAAUUAGAAGGAGGGCACGCUCUCCUCAUGAACUUGGGGAAAACCCACACAUUUCAAAAGCACAUAAUUCAGCUGUAAAAUGUUAACAACUGUUUUCCAGACUUCGCUUUGGUAUACAAAAUUCAGCCCAGAAACUCUUCCAUUUCACAAAGUAUGGUUCAAAUUAAGGGGAAAAAACAACCCUUUACAUAUCUUUGCAGUGUUUUUUUUUUUUUCCACAACACCAGAGUUCUGUCAAAGUGGGAAUCUUCAUAAAAACAACUAUUCAUAUUCUAUGGUUUAUUUAUGCAAAUUGGAUGGGCAAUGUUAAUUAAAUGAACACUUAGAUCUGUGUAGACCUUUUUACCAGUAGGUUUCAAGAAGAUAAAGUAUGAGAACCUUACUUUGGAACCAAAGAAAUGAAGAUCUGGAUAGGUUGGAUAGCUGGGCUGAAGCCAAUGGGAUGGGAUUCAACAAGACCAAAUGCCGGGUCCUGCACUUUGUCCACAAUAACCCCAGGCAAUGCUACAGGCUUGGGGCAGAGUGGCUGGAAGACUGUGUAGAGGAAAUGGACCUGGGGGUGUUGAUUGACACUAGACUGAACAUGAGCCAGCAGUGUGCCCAGGUGGCCAAGAAGGCCAAUGGCAUCCUGGCUUGUAUCAGAAAUAGUGUGGCCAGCAGGAACAGGGAAGUAAUUAUCCCCCUGUACUCAGCACUGGUGAAGCCACACCUUGAGUACUGUGUCCAGUUUUGGGCCCCUCACUGUAAGAAAGACAUCGAGGCCCUGGAGCGUGUCCAGAGGAGGGCAACAAAGCUGGUGAGGGGUCUGGAGCACAGGCCUUAUGAAGAGCGGCUGAAGGAGCUGGGAUUGUUCAGUUUAGAGAAGAGGAGGCUCAGAGGAGACCUUAUUGCUCUCUAUAACUACCUGAAGGGAGUUUGUAGUGAGCUGGGGGUCGGCCUCUUCUCUCAGGUGACUAGUGAUAGGACUAGAGGGAAUGGCUUCAAGCUGCACCAGGGAAGAUUCAGGCUGGACGUUAGGAAAUACUACUUCUCUGAAAGGGUGGUCAGGCACUGGAAUGGGCUGCCCAGAGAGGUGGUGGAGUCACUGAACCUGGUGGUGUUCAAAGAGCGUUUGGAUGUUGUGUUGAGGGACAUGGUUUAGCGAGAACCAUUGGUGAUGGGCGAAUGGUUGGACUGGAUGAUCCUGUGGGUCUUUUCCAACCUUAGCGAUUCUAUGAUUCUAUAAGAAACAUUGUAAGUGACGUAUGAGCUGAUCUACCAGACUAGGAACCAAGCCAGGAGAAAGGCAAACGAAGGGAUGGAUGCAUGCAAUAAAAGCCUUCAAAUGAUGCCAGGCUGGAUUUUUUUCCUGUGACAGACAAUUAUUGUACAGUUAUGGUCUUCUAAUUAACCAGUUAAAGUACAGUUUCUGCAAUUGUCCUACAUAUGUAGGUACCUGGAUAUUAAGCCUAUAGUUUCAUGAAGUACAGAAAUUCAGUUCCCUCUGAUCCCCCUGAGAAGAAAACAGAGAACAAAACCAACCACCAUUUACCUUCCCCUGAACACCUCUGCUGGUAACAGCUUUGUAAAAUAUUCCUGUGCAAUAUCUACUGAGCAUUAGCAUUGUGCACUUCAUACAGUGAUGCAUCACUGUCCUUUGCUGCAAUUUUAGUUAAUUACCCCAUGAAAAACUUAAAAGAUUUAAGCUCAUAAAAAGUAGUAAAUAAUACAUAUCAGUAGUUUGAUUUCUUGCUACAACACAAAGUUGGAAGUUCAGCCUUCAGUAACCUCUGAGCUAUUUCUUAUCCCCACAGCUUCUGUGACAGUACUACAGGAACGUCUAUCUGUACACAGCAUACAAUAUUACCCUUUAUGAAGGCAGCACUGGAACGGAGAUAUAUAAUUAAUUACAUUCAAUUUAGCACCAUGGAUUUAAGGAUUUGCCUUCCAUUAGCAAACAGAGGAGGGAAACUUAGAAAGUAGAUAACAUCUAUUAUAGACAGAUCAUAUAAAUGACUAUUUCACACUUAUUUAAUCCUUCAAAAGCACUAUCAGAGAAAAUAGUUGUUUCUUAUAAGCAGAUGUACUGUUUGAAGGCACUCAGAGCAAUAUUCAGAUGCUGCUGUAUGGAGUGUGUGUUAAGGAAAGCCCAAAGCAGUUGGGACAGUCUGCUGUAAGCUGGCAGGGUGAGGGCAGAGGCUGCAGACAGUGCAUGGAUGGAUGUGUGCAUGGCUGGGGAUAGAUGCAUGGCCACACUGCCAAAGAGACCUGCCUAGCUCUUGGGCUGGGUGUAGAGGCAGACAACCCUGAUCUUCAGCACAAUGGGCAUGCAGCAAGACUAAACAGAAAAGAAGAUACUGGGAGAAAAGUGAUGGCUUGAGACUUUUUCUGAAAAAAAAAAAAAUCAGAAGAACCCCAACUCCGCUACAACCAAAAAUCCAAUAAUCCAAAACACUUCAUCUGUGAAAAGAAUUCAAAUUCAAUUAUUGACUGCACAACAAAUUACUGCAUCUCAGUCAGAGGCCGUACGUGGAAGCUGAAACACUGAGAACACAGCUAGAACGUAUUCCAAACGCAGCCUUCACCCAGGACUCUCUGAAGCACAGUCGACAUCAGAGACAGCAGAGCAGGAAAUAUGUUCUCAGAUGGAAAGGUCUGCUACAUUCCUCCAAGAAUUGCCCUCUAGAGCUGGAGCCUCUUUGUCUAACAGGUACAGCUGAGGCAGGUCCCUGUGCUUUGAAACACUGCUGUUAGAGAAGAAUCGAGGUAUGGCUUUUGGUUCAAGACUGAAUGGUUGGUACUGACAAACUCUGGAGUAGGCAGCAGGAUUCUGCUUUCACGUAUACAUUUGUUUCACAGCCUGAAGCUGGAAAAGCUUUAAUUUAAAUCUUACUGAUAAAAUAGAAAAAAAAAGCUAUUGAUCUUAAUAAUUUUUUUAGCAUGCAUGGUAUUUUUAUUAAUGAUUAAUAACCUUACUAUACUAUCACAAUAUAUCUGUAUAGGUAUUUUUCUUGUUAAAGUAUACAAUUUAGGUGUAAAACAUUUCAUUUAAUUCAUCUCCAACACUACUAACCUUUUCUUACUUAAAUCUGUAAUGCAAAUCUAUAAAAAUCACCAUCAGCUAUAACAGAUGAGUCCAUUGAAAGGCAGUGGCCCUAGGGAUGGCUCUGACCUCCUGAUCUUUCCAUCGCCACUGCUCACACAGCCAGGACUCCUUUGUCCAGAUCAAACCUUUCAUUAGCUGGCACUGAUGAUCAGAGCACUCUGAUCUCUCCCACAUCUCUCUGGACAUGGCUUUUAUGUUCUGCUGCGCCUUCAUGAGACUAAACAACAAUCAGCAUUUGACUCUAAAACUCUUCUCAUGGCCAUCUUACAGUUCAGACACGGUCCCCCCAGGAACCUGUAGCAUGGGGGUCAUAGAAAUCUCAUCCUGUUCCCCCUAGAUACAUUCACAUAUGUCCACAUCAGGUAGAAUACAUGUAGCAAAACCAAACUGGGCAUGCACAAUCACCUGUAGUUUCUUCAGGCAAGGCCACCUCAGAGAUGCAAGAAUAACAGCCUAGGAAAAGUUUUAGAGACCUUUUUCCUGCCAACAUACACAAACCUAGUUACUUUGUUCCAAGGGGCCAGCUUCAUCAUGUACCAUACUGGUAGUUAAUUCGGCCUAAAUGCUUGCCAGUUUUUAAUACAGCUUCCCUAAAGUUGCUAUUAAUCUGGGGUGAAUAUAAAGUGCACUGCUUUCUCCCAGCUUGUUUCAUCCUCUGAUUACAUUCACAUAUUCUACGCAGCACAGCUGUGAACACUUCAGGAGCAGCCAUCCUGAAGAUGGAGAUUGACCAUCCAGUACAACCCACCCCAUCCCAACACUCUGAUUUUCUUUCUGUAGGGUUUCACCAUCGAUUGUAGCCUUCCCAAAUCUUAUCUAACACUAUCUCAUCUAGUCUGUGUUCCAAAAUUUGAUUUAUGCACCUGUAUUCAUUCAUUUUUCACUUGGCUUUGCUGUAAUGUCUAACAGCAGAGAUAGCAUUUGUACUUCUGAUAGCUCAAAAGUUUACACAUCAUUUGAAAGCCAUGCAUUUGCAGAUAGAUAAAAAUAGUCUUAGUGUUUUAAUUAAGUGUUUGCAGUGCAACAGUCAGCGUUGGCAAUGGCAACAGUCAGUUACAGCUAAUGAUACCUUUUGAUAAAGGCAUCAAAUUGUUUUACCCCCAAACCAACCUGUACUACUUUGAGUAAUUUUUGCUGGCACCUCUGGCUUAUGUGCUGCUGAUGGUCAGUUUUUAUUCUACCGAUGUGUACUGUUAUGGUAAUUGGAGGCUAUUUUAGACUAUUUGUGUUUACCCUUAUUGCUAGUUAAUCCCCCCAGAAUUGUGAAGCAUCACUCACAGAUUUUCCAUGUUAGCUGUUAUUUUGCCACUUCUGCACAGAAACUUGCUUGAAACCACCUCAAAUCACAGAUUUGUUGGCUAAGUUCCUAUUACCCUCAGCAGCUCUGUAUUAGGACCUACGUGGCUCAAUUAAUCAGGUGGCUAACACCAAGCAAGUCUAAAGACAAGGAUGAAUGGAAAGCAUCCUGGGGGACAGCUGUGCAGGAAAAUUAAAGUCAAAAAGGAAAGUUGCAGUAGAGACCACAGUAGGACAGAGGAGGAGCUCCUGGCUGUGAGCUGUCUGCAGCUCCAGGAGCCCUGGCUUUUGGCACUUUGUGAAGAAUUGCAGCUGCUGAUGCUGUCAAUAGUCCAGAAAAAGUAGCAGCUGCAAGGGAAGGAAGGAGGACUGCUUGGGACUUCCUGACUGACCUCACACUUCUGUAGCCCAGAUCAUUUCUCCUUCUCCUGCCAUACUUCACCCAUAAAAACACUGAUUACUAUGAUUUCAUGCAGGUGGAGGAAAUUUCACUUUCACGGCUUCAGAGUUGUUUCAUUUUCAGAUCCUAAGGGUUUCCACAGCUUGGAGAGAUCACAGGAGUGAUAUUUUCAAGCGUGGGGCUUGGGGGCUCUCAGUAUUGGGACCUGCCUUUUUACUACUGCUGGAAAGGUCCAGAACUUGAGGGUUGAAAACUAUCAAGUGAACAUCAUACAACAAAAUACAAUUUUCACAGAAAAUGGUUUCUCUUUGUUAAAUUUCACAUCUACUCAUUGUAAAAGCAUCCCCAUAAAACAAAAAAAAAAAGUGUUCAUGUUAUUUUGUGUGAAAAGACAAAACACUUAUUAGAAAGCAUAACGCUUUUUGAUUCUUGUCUUACAGAAUAAGCUACGAAUCCUCAACAUAUAAAGUGACUAUAAAGUAAAAACUAAUUUCUCAUGUAGUUACUCUGUUCCUGAGACCUUUCUGGCUAUCUAAUAUAUUUCCAAAGGAACAUGUUGUUUUGAUAACUGAAUACUCAAUUAGAUAUUCCUCUAGCAAACCAAUUCAGAACUUCCUAUCACGAUCUUCUGUACAGCUACACAGAUAGGGCAUAUAAUUGGACAAAACUUUUCACAGCCACAAGAUUAAGUUUCUUCUUUAAUAAAUAAUUCUUUUUAUUAUUAAAACAUAUGUUAAAUGUAUAUUGUAGACAACUGUAUAGCCAUUUUGGAAGGCUUAUAGUAAGACCUUGUGAUACUAUACUGAGAUGACAAUAGCAGAGUGGCAAAGUCUUUGGCUACAGCAAAUGAGAAUGAGCCCAAAUUCAGCAGCCACAGAUGCAGAGACAGAUAAAAAGAGCUACUUACUUCUAGAAGGCCUCAGAUAAGCAGGGAACCCUAGCAAGAUAUGCCCUCACCUCCACUGACAACCCUUAAAUGAGAUCUGGGAAGGGGUGGAUCCUGGCUGCACCCCUUCCAGUCACUCAGGUGCAUUGCAUACACCUGAGCUCCUUUGGGUUUGCCCUGCCUUCCCACCAGGUGCUCAAUUGCUGUUUCAGACCAUGACUUAGCAUUUCCACUACAGACCUGAAGCCCUUCAUGUCUGUGUUAUGCUUUAGGGUCUCUGUGAAAGACUGUAGAAUGGGAAAAUACAUCUGAGCUCAUAACCAUGGGCAGCUGGGACCACGGAGUCAUCUCCUUACUGUUGUUUUGAGCCAUCUCUUUGGAACUGCUUGGAUGGAUGCAGCUCCUAGCUGGGUCACAGCUAGCAGCACUGCCAAGUCUGUGAAUGGCUUUUUGACAUGGAAAGUCUACUAGCAGUAGAAGGGCUGGGGGUUGGUAUCUAUUGUACAAUCUAAAGCUAGAUCAGAAGAGAUGGAUAUAGGAAGGAUAUUGAACCCUUACUGUGGAAUAGAUUGGAGUACUCCAGUUUUCCUUCUAAAAAAACAAGAAAAUAUAGCAAGAAAAAAGGCUGGUAGGAAUUUUCUUUCGAAUUUCUCAUUUUCUCCUGCAUCAACAAGUUUCACUCAGUCCUUGAGAACAGAUCCAGGCAUUUUUCACCCCAAGCCCUCCUGGCUGCUGCUCACAAAGGACAACCACUGUUCCUUGGCUUACCAAGCGCUUAUCUAGAGGGAUGCUGUCCCAAAAGCUCUCUGCUUAAUAAAAACAUUCCAUCCAUCACACAUCAUAAAAAUGAAAUAGAGGGGCAUCAGACAGCAAACAUAAACACUCCCACAGACCUCUUACCACUGUAAAAUAAUUUAUGGGGUUGAAACUACAUUGGCAUACUGUCACUGGUAAUGUUCCCACUGGCUUACCAGCACCUUCAGUUUUUUUGGCUGUUUGCAGAACAAUUCCAGCUCUGCUUCCAGCUCAACAAGUAAUUUUAUUUGGGUCUGGCUCUUAAGAAAGUCUCAGAUGUGUCCAACUGUCCCUCACUGAGUAGAAAACUGUGUUGAGCUACAUCAGAGUAGCCAUAGGUAAGUUCAUUUUAAGCUUUGUGGCUUUUUAUAGAAUAAUUCCAAAGAAAAGGUGUAAUUAAUUGCCACUGCCUCAUUUUUGUCCUCCUCAGACAUCUCAAAGAAAUCACUGCAAGAGGCCUAGGCAACAAAAAUCUUUCUUACAAGAAGACAGUCUUUCAUUACCACAAAAGCCUCUCCCAGGGAGCAGCUCUGAAACCAAAUGGAAAGCCUCAGGCAGAAAGUAAAACAGUGAGUUUGCAGACUGAGCCGCCACCAGAAGCACACUGGUAUUGCAAUUGGAGAUUCAAUUGGGUUUUGGGAGACUUUGCAAUGCUAAGACACUACUUAAAGGUACUUCUCAUAUCUAACAUAGCACUGAGCUUUUACGAACAUAAAUCUUAUGGAUACAGAAUACAAAGCUCAUUACAAAAUCUACAUCACAUGACUUGGCCAAUUUUAUUUGAAUGCCCUUUCCUAGCUGUGCAUUUCUCUCUUUUUCACUAUUACAACAGUGUGUGGCUACCCUGAGAAGUGGUACCACUGAAAUGAAUUGCAAAGUGCAUGAUGCCUACUACUGUACCACUGCACGCUUUUCCAGCACUAGCUAGAGAAUGCUAGAAUGAGAGUCCUAAAGGAAUUCUGUACCUUUAUAACCUCAUAAACUUAGAAGCUUAAUUCUUUGUAAGCUCAUUGAGAUCAGUUGAAAAAUAUGGCUGGGUCGAGUGUGUUGGAUAGGGGGGAAAAUGCAUUGGAAAUGUGUCAUUGCAGAGUGUUUGCUGCACCAGAACAGCCUUAGGUGGGAAAUGAGAGACACAGCAGAUACAGGAUAUAGAGAGGGAGAAAUGCAAGCCAUUCAAAUAAUGCAGAAGCUGCCUUCCCAGUAAAGACUCCUGUUGUUACAGUCACUUAAGUUCAAAAGGGAAAAAUAAUGAUGGACUGUGUCCUUAAAUAAUGUCGGAAUAUUCGAGCGCAGUUACCUGAAAAAAUGCAGGAUAAAUUUGGAAAGCCUAUGGUGUUAGAUAUAAAAGUCAGCUUGCACAGAGCUAAGACCAGACUUCUGUGCUGAUAAUAUAGGUAAAUAAGGUAAUACUUAGUUGAAAAAGUGUGGCUUGGAAUUCUUUUUCUGUUUGUAUCUCUUGAGUCACAUACAAAUACACUGAGAGUUAAAAAUGGGAAAAAUCACAGUAAUGGCUUUAUUUAUGAAAGCUGCCACUUCUUUUGCCAAGUCAUUUGGAGUGUUCUGCAGCAAAAUAAACAUAUGGUGAAAAUAUAAACACAGAGAUAUGAAAACAACCUCUUCACAUUUAAACAAGAGUCAUUUGAGAAAAAUGCCAAAUAAAAAACUAGAAAAAGGAAGAAG